rnacentral:lncRNA from 1 species
UGGGCUGUGGACAGGCUCGCUCAAGUGCUUUUGACAUUCUAAAUACCAGGAGGUCUUUUUCCAUAGAAAGCUGAGACGGCCGUGCGAGGCAUCGUACCACAGACAAUCACUCAGGCAGUGGAGAGGAAGAAGGUGGAACCAGAGGUUCAGAACCUGCUCUCACGGGCUGUUUCUCUGGGA